AAUUUAUCAGAUAAAAUGUUGCUUUAAAUAUAAAUGGAAAUAUUGAGGAUUAACUGGCCUGGUUUUUUUUGUCUCUUUGACAGAAUGUGAUAUAUGCCGAGUAUACGGAGUCAGAUCAAACCAUCAGGAAUUUUUGGACUGUGUUUCACGAGCUACCAGAAGAAAAAAAGAAAAUGUUUCUUGUUUUUUUGUCAGGAUCUGAUCGAAUUUCUGGCUAUGGACUGGAACCUUUUAGAUUUUGCAUUGCAGAUCCCCACAUAGAAAAUCCAGAUAAGAGCUCUCCCUAUGCCAGUACUUGCUGCCUGACUUUGUUCCUCCCCAGAUACAGCAGAAAAAAAAUACUCAAAAAGAAGUUGCUUUAUGCCAUAGAGCAUAAUGAAGGUUUUGGCCGUGAGUAACUCUGGGAUAGAAGCACUUAAAAGCAAAAAUAAGAAUAUGAGUCUUUGUUCACUUGCCAUAUUUUCUCUUAAUAACUCAAAUUUACUGGUUUCUACCCUGCCUUAUUUUUACUGGACUUUAUAAACACCUGAGUGUGUGUAUUUGCUGAGAUUUUACAUUGCUUAUAAAAUUGAGCUUUGACCAGACAUUUCAUAGUUAGAUUGUAAAGUUAGGAAAGAAGAAUGCUGUUUGGCACACUUCAGAGAAGCAAGCUGAUAACCAAGCAUAUUUACAUAUAUGUGCAGGCAGGGUCUGCACUGUUCUGGUUGUGUUAGGACAGUGAGCUCCCAGCAGCAGGGAUGCUGUGAUUUGUACAUUUAUGCAUUAGCAAGCACACAACCAGGAUGUGCUAAGCAGUCACCCUUGCAGAGCAAAGCCAGGGUAAGGUUUUAAUUUGUGUUACUUAAGGGUUCUCAUGGGAGCAACUAACACAUUUAAUGAGAUUGGGAACUGAAGGAGCAGUCUGUGCUUACCUGGAUAUGGUCUAUGAUUUAUCUGAGAGAAAUUUGUAGGAGGAUUUGAUCAUUCCUAGACUUUUUCAAAAGCUGUAUUAAUGAAUUAUAAUAAUACAAUUUUUUUGUUAUUUAGUGUGAUAAUUGUGAUAUUUGCCAUGUUUCAUUAUAACUUCUAAGGAGAUGUUUCACAAUUAAAUCAUAAAAUCUUAGGCUUGCAGAACAGCACUGCCUACAGAGCCCUGUGGACAUGAGGCUGGCAGGGCUUCAGGAAUCUCAUUGUCAAAACAGUGCAGAGCACUGGCAGGAUAUUAACCAUGUCAGGCAGGAUGUGUGUUUACUGUGUAUUUUGCUAUGUGAAGAGAGGGAGAGACACAACAGCCAUUAUUUUUCAGCAGUCUUCUCUUUGGUGCAUUAAAUGUGUCAGGGGACAUCCAUAUGUAAAGAAGACUUCCACUGUCUUAAAUGAUGAUGGAUUAAAUUUU
rnacentral:lncRNA from 1 species